rnacentral:rRNA from 1 species
CCUACGGGAGGCAGCAGUGAGGAAUAUUGGUCAAUGGCCGGAAGGCUGAACCAGCCAUGCCGCGUGAAGGUCAGUGCCCUUUGGGCGUUAAACCUCUUUUGUGCGGGAGCAAUAAUGGCCAUGUGUGGCCAGACGAGAGUACCGUACGAAUAAGCAUCGGCUAACUCCGUGCCAGCAGCCGCGGUAUACGGGGGAUGCAAGCGUUUCCGGAUUUAUUGGGUUUAAAGGGUGCGUAGGCUGUUAGGUAAGUCAGCGGUGAAAUGCCCCCGCUCAACGGGGUGAAGUGCCAUUGAUACUGCCUUGCUGGAGUGCGGAUGCGGUUGGAGGAAUGUGUGGUGUAGCGGUGAAAUGCAUAGAUAUCACACAGAACACCGAUUGCGAAGGCAUCUCACGAAUCCACGAUUGACGCUGAUGCACGAAAGCGUGGGUAGCAAACAGGAUUAGAUACCCCAGUAGUC